GCCCGGAUGGCGAAAUUGGUAGACGCAAGGGACUUAAAAUCCCUCGACUUCGGUCAUGCCGGUUCGAGCCCGGCUCCGGGCACCA
rnacentral:tRNA from 1 species